rnacentral:lncRNA from 1 species
AGUGAUUGUGUAUCCAACAAUUUGUCCCAAUCUUUCAUAUUGUUUAAUGCUCUGCGCGUGGAUUUUCCAUAUGUACUCCCAUUCUCAGUAGAAUAAAAUGGUGAGAGGAUUAUGCUUUGUAGUUCAACCUUCGCUUGAUAGAUCUUAAUUUUCUUUGCUUUUAUUUUUGAAUCAUUUUUAUUAUAUUUGAGUUCUUUUGUUGUCUAAUCUGAAGCGUGAUUCGAUUAUUUAUGAUAUAUGCUAAUUUCAGUAUUUCAUUGUUCCUUUGACAUUUUUUGUUGCUCAUAUCUGAAAUGCUAGUGGCUAUAUUGAAACUUUUGGGGACUUUAGUAAUUAUGUGACUAGUUGUUACUGUUUGAAAUUAUGUUGCGAUCCGAGUUUUUUAUCAGUAGGGAAGAACUAAGCUUUAUGUUAUUAAGUGGUGUCACUGUUAUCUUUCUUGUUUGUUCACUUGCUUAUUAUGAUAGGUUAAAACAAUGCAAGUGAGAGAUUCUAGGUGCUAAACAAUUAGAUAUCAAGGAGUUCUUUUUAUUCUUUAAUCAAUAUUGAAUAUAUUGCGAUGAGAAGGUGUCUUUCUAUGUUGUCUUUUGGGUUUGCAGUCUUCAAUCAAUGUCGUUAUACCAACAAUCUUCGACAACUGAAAAUGAACAUGGUAGGACAUUCAAGAAUGAAAGUGCAAGAUCACAUUACGAUAUAUGGAAUCCAAGGGCAAAAGUUGUUUGGUAAUUGACUUUCCUCUCUAUUCUCAAAGACUUUGAUAAUAUCUCUGUUGUACUUUUGUGUUUAUUCUGUUUGUUGAGAUAGUUACGAAAAUGCACCAUGUUAUGUCAGGGAUUAUGUGAAGAAAGAGAUGAUUAACUAGCUUGCGAAAUUAAGGUCUGCUAAAUUGUAUUUCUAGAUAGAACAUUGAUAUGAAGUGAAACAUUUUUUAGUCUACUUAAUCAUGUUGUUCUUGUCAAAGUAUUACAUUAUAGUUGUCCUCUGUUUUUAGACAUCCCUUUCACUAUAACCAAAAAGCUAAAUAAUAAAUCAACUAUUUAAACCUUUGUUUGAUUUCAUGGUAUAGAUCAAAUUUUAUGGUCAUUGUUCCUCAACAACAAAAAUAACUUUACCGUUAUUACUUUUUUACUCAUCUUAUAUAUGACCUUGUAUUCAUAGGGUGUUAAGCAAGAAGUGUUUUAUUCUUUUGAUAACUUUGGUAUAUAGACUCUUUAAUUAAUUUGUGAAAAUUUCAUUGUCUUAUAAACUAGUCAAACAAAGUUUACCUCCUUUAUACAUACUGUCUUUGUAUUGUUUAGGUUCUACUCUUCUUCUAAAGCAAAUAUUUGAUUUGGGAUAUGUGGAGAAUGUGAAACUAUUUUGUAGUCAAAAGACAAAAUAAAUCACUUGUGAAUGUUUAGGCAUAAUUAGUCUUAGAAUUGAUAUUAGGGGUUGCAUUCUUAGCUUGCUGUUGGGUUGAUGAUUGUUGCUUUUCAUCAAACAAAUAAGGAUUUUAUUAGAACAACAGAAUAUAAUAUCAAGUUCCUCUCUCGUUAACUUCUUAUAAUCUAUAGUCUAGAGGCUAUUGCAUAUAUCACGGAAAGUUGAAAAGUAAACCUUUGGUGCUUAAUUUUGAAUCAUGGUCUAGUAUGUUCUUUUAAUGAAAGUUUUGUCUCUAUGAAAAUCCAAUUUGAGAUGGAUUGAAGAGGAAAGUUUACUUUUGUUUUUAAUUUUCAACUCUUAUUUUCAUAUAAAGUAAGUGAGACACGAAUCACUAGAUUUCUUGAUUUAAUUUUUUUGUAUUGACCAUCUUUGACCAAAUGAUGAGAAGAGUUGUUUGGCAAACUUAUAGCUGAAAGUUGUAUUGAUAUGAGGUCUGUUGAAAAUACAUUGGAAAAUGCCAGAAAAAUAAGUCAUUUUUGGCUAUCUUUUUCAGUUAGCAACUUAAGGUACCAUAAUUUUUGUAGUAUUAAUUAUGGUUAAUGAGUAAUGAUAAGAGCUAAGUGUGUAAUUUGUACUUUAAAAUAAUAGUUUUAAGCUUAUAUAAGAAUAAUGAUCAUAAAUUGUUCUAGUUUCGUGAUUCUGCUAUUUACAUUUUUGUUCAAGUUAUACAUUUAUAAUUGGUCCAUGUUAUGUCAUGGGAUGAUUGGAACUAAAAUUUAAAUGGUACUACCAGUUGUAAACACAAGUUAAGAGCUACAUUAAUGAAGGUAAAGUCAAUUAUUUGGCACACAUGCAAAUAUUUCAUUGUCAAUAGAAGAGUAAGAGCAGUUUGUGUGUAAAUAUUGUAUUGUUCAAGAACUUCUUCCUCUAUAUCCUUCUCUCUUUUUUUCUUUUUUUUUAAAUUUGCUUAGUUUGAUGGAGAUAUUUUUAUUUUAUUCAUUUUGCUCAUUCUUGUAUUCAACUAGUAUGUAUUGAUAAUAAAAUUAAGUUGCAAAUUAAGCUAGCAAUUCUAUAUCCUUUCUCUUUUAUCUUUUGCUGUUAUUUUAUUUGCACCAUCAACAUUUCAUCUAAAUAUGUGGUCUAACAAUUCUUCUUGAAUUUUCUUUGUAGGUAGUAAUUGAUCUAUCCAAAGUAUGCACGAAGGAUGAUGAUG